GCAUUGGUGGUUCAAUGGCAGAAUUCCUACCUCCCAUGCAGGAAACCUGGGUUCAGUUCCCAGCCAAUGGA
rfam:Alligator mississippiensis ScZkoYb_3.1, whole genome shotgun sequence.